UAUGGCCACAUCAUGUUGAAACAUCUGUUCCUGUAUGAACACUGAAGUUAAGCAAUAUUAAGUCUGAUCAUUAUCUUGAUGGGUGACAGCUUGGGAAUACCAGGUGCUGUGA